AGAUCGAUGAUGGCACCCUCACAUGUGUUCCCUGGAAAAUCUAAACAAAAUGAGUGAGAAUUGAUAUCAUCUCCUCAUCGAAACAAGGUCU
rnacentral:snoRNA from 1 species